GAUGAACGCUGGCGGUGUGCCUAAUACAUGCAAGUCGAGCGAACUGACGAGGAGCUUACUCCUCUGACGUUAGCGGCGGACGUGUGAGUAACACGUGGAUAACCUACCUAUAAGACUGGUAUAACUUCGGGAAACCGGAUCUAAUACCGUAUAACAUGUUGAACCGCGUGGUUCAACAGUGAAAGACGGUCUUGCUGUCACUUAUAGAUGGAUCCGCGUCGCAUUAGCUAGUUGGUAAGGUAACGGCUUACCAAGGCAACGAUGCGUAUCCGACGUGAGAGGGUGAUCGGCCACACUGGAACUGAGACAGGGUCAAGAGUCCUAAGGGAGGCCGCAGUAGGGAAUCUUCCGCAAUGGGCGAAAGCCUGACGGAGCAACGCCGAGUGAGUGAAGAAGGUCUUCGGAUCGUAAAACUCUGUUAUUAGGGAAGAACAAAUGUGUAAGUACCUAUGCACGUAUUGACGGUACCUAAUCAGAAAGCCACGGCUAACUACGUG
rnacentral:rRNA from 1 species